CCGAUCUGGAAACGAGCUCCGCGUCGAUCUUAGUCAUUCAUUCAUCAGACAAAACCGCCGACGAAAACCCUAUCCGCUCACCCGUGCCUCCUCUCUUCCCCUCCCGAACAGAGAGCUCUCGGGUGGAGAGGCUCAACCCGCGUCCAUCACACUCCGGCGGCGCCACAGAAAGCGGGAGUAGUAGUGAAGACCACGAUGGGAUGCUACUCUGUCGGUGAUCAAGGACGGGAAAAAGAAGGCUGUUUGAUGUGUGGAUGGAUUUGAAUGGGACGGACGCAUCACGGUUGAAGGAUGUUCGCCACAACUUAAAAGGAGGUCAAUCAUGUUUAAAUUGUCUUUCUAAAUUGGCUUUCACAUGCAGCAGCACCAUAGGAAUUAGUCCUCAAUCAAGGUAUUUUACCUAUUCCCCUCUUAUGUAUAGUGGAUUUGUGGUGGUUGUUUGCCACCAUCGGAGCUAUGACUGUGCAUGACACAAUUGAAAUUCUGCAUAUGAUCGACGUCCUUUGAUAUGGUUUUUUGUUAAAUAGUUUUUCUUCCUACCCUUUUAUCAUUUGAGGGUAUAAAAUACUUGUGCAUAGUUUGGAUAAGGAAUUUGAUAUAUGACCUUCCUUUCUCCCAUGAGGAAUUAGGAAUUUUGAUAUACUUACUCAUUUCAGUUCUUUCCAAUAUGAACCGAGGCUUUAUAUUUUUCUGUUUGAGUUACAGACUUGUCUGGCCUAUGACGACAACAAUGUGUCAGGACAAAGCAUUUUUUGAUUGGAUCAAACGAUGAGUUUUCCAAUUUUUCUGUAAGUAUCUUGGAUAUGCAGAUCAUCAUCCGUAAAGAUUAGCAUUGGUAAUACUAUGUUUGGAGUGCAGCCUCUUUCACUAAUAAUACCCAAUAAGUGACAGACUUCGAAUAUUUACUCGAGUGAGUACCGAGGAGGCGAGAAGCACAACUCGGGUCAUGAGUGAGAAGUAGGAGGGUAUCGGUCAUCUGCAACUUUGGAUGGUUCCCAAGUUGAUUACCGGCGGUCUGAUGCGGGAGAUGCUACGCCAGCCAUGGUCGCUGGCGGAAGGACCUCUGGAGAAAGCGAUAGCUCAGCAUCGAUGGCGACAGCGGCCGGAUAGGUAGGCACUCUCUCCUCUCCCUCUCUCCGGCUUCUCAAACCCUAGCGCCGCCUGCUUUUGGCCGUCUUCUCCAGUGCCAGUGACCGGGAGUCAGCCGACACCGUUCAUCUCCUCCCACCGGUAGCCUUGCCCUGCGCUUCCUCCCCUCACGGCUUUUUCUUGAACAUGGAGGAAGGAUGCGGCUGAACGUAGACAAUGACCGGCAGGGAGAAAAACAAGGAGGUUGGGAUGAUCUACAUGACAAUCUGACCUAGCAGUGUUCAACUUCUUAUUCACUUCUUGUCUUCUCCGCUGUUUUUUCUGUUUGUUUUAGUUCAGAUCAAAGCAAUAGUGACACUUCUGCAUAUAUAGAUUGAAGUGAUUAUUUUUUGUUUUGAUAAGUUCUUCUUGCUGAAGCGAAUAAAGCUUCAUCAGUGCCCAUGAACUAGGAGCUGAUUGGCUUCUAAAGAGGCAUCAAACUUUAAAAGCAAUAUUAUAAUGUAUGGUUAAGAAACUUAAUUGAUCUGAUUUUGUUCCUCUUCAUGGCCUUUUCAAAGUAUAAUUUUGUCCUGGCAAGAGGCAAAUCCUUAACACGUGAAUUGUUUAAAAGGUAUUGUAGGACACCAAAUUUCGAGCAAAAUCGAGAUAUUAGACUUGAAGAUGUCGAUACUGCAUUCAGUGGGUGUGUUUUUUCCUAUUGCGAUUCAACUACAUCAUGCAAUGGAGGCUCAAGGGAGGCAAAAAAAAAUGCUACCUAGGGGUUUGCUGCUUCCUUUCAGAUACCUAUUCUUUCUCUGAACAGGAAUUUAUUGACGCGUUACAAGUAGCAUGCAGUUCUUGUCCUAUAAACUACACGGCCUAUGAUGAUCCCAACAAUGUUUUCUAGCUCUAUACAUAAGCUUAAGUGAUCUAAAAGAGAUACGAAUGGAAAUUCAAAAUACCUGGAAAAUCCAAUAACGCAAGAGUUAGAGUGAAGAGGUUGCAUACAUAAGCUACGUAAGGAAAUAUAUUCAACCACAGUUAUCUCGCAAACCCGCAGAACAAUUGAAUGUUGAGAAGAUGAAAGGAGGAAACAGUCCUCAGAGUAAAAAAGAAGGUCAUCACUGCAACAUUAUUUAGCUUCAUAUCAUCUACAUCGUGUUAUGUUGUGGCGAGACUGAUGACUUUGAUCUUGGGUAUUAACAGGUUGGAGUGGGAGAUGUUGUAUAAGCCUAAGUGACCACAUGGCCACUACCUAUCAUGCAAUAUGGCGAUUGAUAUGGAUCUAAUCAUGAGAAGAGUAUAAAGACAGAGACAUGAUGGAGGGAAUGCAGAUUGGUCCUCAAUGCGUAUCACUAAGUUUUUUUUGGAAGAAAUGAGGAAAAUUAGCUCCAUGGAAGUUCAUCUGAAUAAUGUAAGUCAUAACUCAAGUUUUGGUUCUGGUUGCCCUGAUUUGGUGGCCUGAUGUACGCAUGCAUAACCUGCUAUAAUCUUAUUCAUGCCUACAAAGUGCUCAGUAAAGCCGCAAAACAAUGUGAAUAUGCAUGAAAAAGGUAUAUUUCUGCUCCAAUCAAACAUUCUCACCCUGAUCCAUCAUUUCUGGAUAUCCGUAUUCUUGAUUUGCGGCCAAAUUAGUUUGUCUAUUUGUCUAUUGUCAGGUUAAUAUCAUGAUAGGAAUAUUAGUGUGUAAUUUUUCUCUUUCUAGGCGAUGAAUGCAUAAAGUAAACCUUUGGACUCCUUCAACUUUUUUAUUUGCAGGAUUGUCUGCACAAUUACUGGAAUGGAGAAGGGGAGAUAAAGGCGAAGUUGCAGUCAUGAUGUCCUUGAGCUAAUGACAAACAUUAGUUCCUGAUCCAUUAUUUUCUUCUCAUGGCUACCUGUAUAUGUCAGGGCCGCAUGCCCUUUUGUGUGUUUCUUGUUUUUUUUUCCUUUUGGUAUUUCACCAUUUCAGUUUUGGGUAUUGUGUUUAGGGUUCCACUUGAAUUCGGUACUGAAAGUUGAUGUUCACCAGUUCAGAUUUCUGAACACCUUGUUUCUGAGAAAACAGAAUUUCAAAUGAAUGGAAAUGACAUUGCAUUUUUUUUUCUUA